rnacentral:rRNA from 1 species
UUGAAAGGGAAACGAUUGAAGUCAGUCAUGCCUAUGGGAAUCAACUUAGGGGAAACUCUGGGUGCACUUCUUCGUUUGGCAGGUUAGUGUUGAUUUUGGGUGUCAUAAAAUAAUUGGGGGAAGGUAGCUCUUUCGGGAGUGUUAUAGCCCCUGGUAGAUGUGAUAUCUAGGAUCGAGGAUUGCAACGGAUACCUUCGGGGCUAACAGCCUAAUCUCUAAUUGGUGUUGAGUUACGGACAGCAUGCUGACCAUGAUCUAAUUACUGGUUAAAAGGUUAGAGCGUGUAUAAAUCGUUAAGGAUGUUGACGUA